GCAUCCUUGUCCACUCAGCUAACUCUCAACCACUGAAUUGAAUUAAUGCUUUUCAAUUAUAGAGAAUUAGUAAAAGCAAACUUGGUUCCCCUCUCUCUUUUCAACUCUCACCUCUUCCCCUAAUAGAAAUCCAUCCAUUCUAAAAGUCUUCUCUUUUUUUCUUCAAAUCAAAAGCUCCUUUGUUUGAAAUGGAAGUAGUAAGUUUUUCCAUUGGUGUCAUAGGCAACGCCAUCUCAGUGCUAAUGUUUCUUUCUCCUGUCGGAACAUUUUGGCGAAUAAUAAAGCAUGGCUCCACAGAGGAAUUUGAGAGCCUUCCUUACAUUUGCACGUUGUUAAACUCAGCCCUAUGGACUUACUACGGAAUUAUAAAGCCUGGGGCAUUACUAGUUGCCACUAUUAAUGGUUUUGGCAUACUUGUUGAGGCUAUCUUUGUUACUUUAUUUCUUAUAUAUGCUCCGGCAAAGUCAAGGGCUAAAACUGCCAUUCUUUUUGGGAUCUUGGAUGUGGGCUUUUUAUCAGCAGCUGUUCUAGUUACUCAGUUGGCAUUGCAAAGAGAAACGCGUAUUGAUGCGAUAGGGUUCUUGUGUGCAGGGCUAAACAUUAUAAUGUAUGGAUCGCCUCUCGCCGCCAUGAGGACAGUAGUGACAAACAAGAGCGUGGAGUACAUGCCAUUCUUUCUCUCAUUUUUCCUUUUCUUGAACGGUGGGACAUGGACUAUUUAUGCUUUGCUCGUACGUGAUUAUUUCCUUUUGGAAAGGAGCACACAACGGUUGUCAAGUUUAAUAUUAGACCUCUACAAAAACAUCAACAAAAAGAGAUUGGUACCAAACGGGUCAGGGUUUCUGCUUGGAACAGCGCAACUAGUGCUUUAUGCGAUUUACAGAAAGCCCAGGCGAUCCGAAAAUGAUUCAGAGAGAUUGCAAGAAGAAUGGCAACAUGAGUGCCUCGUCUCGUCAAGUCAUGAUCAAUCACAUUGAAAGAAUGCAGAGCAGAGACUGUUAUUGUGACACAUUCAAUGCUAGCCCUGCUGCUCCUACCCAUAUGAGAGUUUUGUGGUGUACUUUCUCGGCUUCAUACAAAUAAAAUUGGUGGCACUUUGCUAGAGCUCUGUGCUGGUGGUGCUGUCACUGUAGCUACCGUUGCUGCUAUUUCAGCCACUCCCACUACCAUUAGCCACUGGCGAUUCAAACUGUUGUCAUUGCCACUACAUCAGCAGCACAAAACAUCUCUAUGUCCUUCGCCAAUCACCAAGGAUCUCCACAGCUAAUCUUCAAGGAUCUUUAUGUAUCUUUGUUCUUAAGAUUUGUUUCCAAUGGAUCUAUAUAUAAAAUAAAGAGGUUUAAAUAUUAUAUUUA